rnacentral:rRNA from 1 species
CCAUCUCAGUUCGGAUUGUGGUCUGCAACCCGACUACAUGAAGCUGGAAUCGCUAGUAAUCGCGAAUCAGAAUGUCGCGGUGAAUACGUUCCCGGGCCUUGUACACACCGCCCGUCACACCAUGGGAGUCGGAAAUGCCCGAAGUCAGUGACCCAACCUUAGGGAGGGAGCAGCCGAAGGCAGGUCGGAUGACUGGGGUGAAGUCGUAACAAGGUAAC